rnacentral:rRNA from 1 species
UACGGAAGGCAGCAGUGGGGAAUAUUGCACAAUGGGCGCAAGCCUGAUGCAGCCAUGCCGCGUGUAUGAAGAAGGCCCUUCGGGUUGUAAAGUACUUUCAGUCGUGAGGAAGGUGUUAAGGUUAAUAACCUUAGCAAUUGACGUUAGCGACAGAAGAAGCACCGGCUAACUCCGUGCCAGCAGCCGCGGUAAUACGGAGGGUGCGAGCGUUAAUCGGAAUUACUGGGCGUAAAGGGCACGCAGGCGGUUAAUUAAGUUGGAUGUGAAAUCCCCGGGCUUAACCUGGGAAUGGCAUUCAAGACUGGUUAGCUAGAGUCUUGUAGAGGGGGUAGAAUUCCAUGUGUAGCGGUGAAAUGCGUAGAGAUGUGGAGGAAUACCGGUGGCGAAGGUGGCCCCUGGACAAAGACUGACGCUCAUGUGCGAAAGCGUGGGGAGCAAACAGGGAUUAGAUACC